UGUAUGUGAGAAUUUUGCUGUCGCAUCUUAUUUUAUACACAUUAUACCUUAAUACCAACACAGCCUAAUGUAUAAAUACAUACAUUUCUCUGAAUCAGAAUUCAUACAGUUAAAAAUAUAGAGGCUACAAUGUCUGUCAUUGCUCAACAAUAGGUAAAGUACAGCCAGCUAAUUUGACAGUAACUAAUGCAGUAAAAUUGCACAGCAGCCUUAUUACUUUACCUUCACUUAUAGCCAACCCUGGUCCUCGAGAGCCACUGCACUGCUUGUUUUCCAGCUGUCCCUGCCCUUCCAGCUUCUGACUGACAACACACCUGAUCCAUUACUAAUCAGCAGUGAGUAAGGCAUGGAUAGUUGGUAAACAAGCAGAGUCAUGUCAAAUGCUUAAUGGCCAAAUUAAUUUAUGAGGGGUGGUGGCCAACUUUCAAAGCAUUUCAAGGCUACAGCUUUGUACUAUGUAAUUUAAGAUGCUCUGAAGAGGUGGAGUCCAACUGCCACAGACUCCGAAAUUGAUGCAUUAAUGGCGGAACACCUAAAACACGCUCCAGGAAGAGCUGGGGGCGGUGGUUAUAAGAAAUAAGCUGUUUUGAGAGACAUUUACAUGUGUGUUUACAUUAAUCCAGUAUUUUUGUUUUGUACUUGUUUGAUUUAUAGCUGUUUAAAAUUUAAUGCAAAACCGUUUCAAUUAAAAAAAUUGAGUACUGCCACAUUAAUAAUGCUUCUGGAAGAGCAAGUGCUUGUGGAGCAACAAAAUGAUAGUAAACAUUUUGGAAUAAUGAUAAAUAAAUAAAAGAUUAUAAAUAUACAUAUGUGUUCACUUUUAUCUGUUACCUUGGUUAUGUUCUUGUUUGAAUAAUGGCUACUUAAAAUUAAUGUCAAGCUUUGAGAAAAUUGGUGCAUGCUUAGAAUUAACUACAUUAUAUUAUUUCUGUUUUCAUGUUUAAAUAGUAGCUGUUUAACAAAUGGAAGACCUUGAAAAAAAUGUAAUAUGCACAAAAUAUGUUGUAGUAAAUUAGAACGGUCUAAUUCUUGCUUAAGUCCACACAAUGUUUUAUUGUUUGUAAUGUACACGUGAUUAAAACGUUUUGUAGACGUUCA